rnacentral:rRNA from 1 species
CGCCUNUUUAUUAAAAACAUGGUUUUUAAAAUUUAUUAAAAAUUGAACCUGCCAAUUGAAUUAAUUUUAAAAGGCCGCAGUAUUUUGACUGUGCUAAGGUAGCAUAAUCAUUAGAUUUUUAAUUGAAAUCUAGAAUGAAUGGUUUAAUGAAACAAAUUCUUUUUUAAUUUAAAAAUUUUUAAUUUUAUUUUUUAGUUAAAAAGCUAAAAUUUUAUUAAGGGACGAGAAGACCCUAUAGAAUUUUAUAUAAAUUUAUUAUAUUUUAAUUAAUAAAUUAUUUUUAUAAUAAUGAUAUAUUGUAUUGGGGUGAUAGUUAAAUUUAAUUAACUUUUUUUGUUAAUUCAUAAAUUAAUGUUUAAAUGAUCUUUUUAUAUUGAAUAAAAAUUUAAAUUACCUUAGGGAUAACAGCAUAAUUAUAUUAAAAAGUUCUUAUUUUUAAUAUUGUUUAUGACCUCGAUGUUGGAUUAAAUAAAAUUAUUAUAUGAAGAUAUAUAAUAAAUAAGUCUGUUCGACU